AGCGAACGCUGGCGGCAGGCCUAACACAUGCAAGUCGAACGGACCCUUCGGGGUUAGUGGCGGACGGGUGAGUAACACGUGGGAACGUGCCUUUAGGUUCGGAAUAGCUCCUGGAAACGGGUGGUAAUGCCGAAUGUGCCCUUCGGGGGAAAGAUUUAUCGCCUUUAGAGCGGCCCGCGUCUGAUUAGCUAGUUGGUGAGGUAAUGGCUCACCAAGGCGACGAUCAGUAGCUGGUCUGAGAGGAUAACCAGCCACAUUGGGACUGAGACACGGCCCAAACUCCUACGGGAGGCAGCAGUGGGGAAUCUUGCGCAAUGGGCGAAAGCUUGACGCAGCCAUGCCGCGUGAAUGAUGAAGGUCUUAGGAUUGUAAAAUUCUUUCACCGGGGACGAUAAUGACGGUACCCGGAGAAGAAGCCCCGGCUAACUUCGUGCCAGCCGCCGCCGUAACAC
rnacentral:rRNA from 1 species